UAUCAGCUACGAGAAGCCGCUGUCACCUGUGCAGGUGGCAGCGCUCAGGGCGGAGAGAAUCGCAAAGGAGACGAAGGCUCUGGCUGAGCAGCAGCAGCAGCAGCUGGCGGCAGCGGCGGUGUCAGCUGUAGCUGGAACUCACCACCCACUCACCCUGGUCCGCGGAGGGCAAACAGGCGGCCCACACGAUGCUGCAGGCUUCCCGGGUGAAGGUGGCGGUGGCCCGGGGCAGUCGCCGAGCGUCGCUGGCGCCCCCGGGUUACCACUCGCUGGCGGGAGCCUCCUCUGACGGGAACGGCACCGGGGUGGCAGAUCCCGGCGAGCCGGACCCCCCACGGCAGUUCCCGCAGCAGCGAUGUCGCCGCGGGAAUUGCGUCAGCUCCGUGACGAGUUGCGGGAACUUCAGACGGAGCUGAGGGCGACGCCGAGGCCCCACCAGGAGCCCCCCGAGCAGAGCGCCGGCGGCGGCACCGGCCGCACGGCUUGGGUUUAGCGCGAGCGAGUGUCACCGUCGCGGCGACCGUCUGUGCUCUUUGUGAAGAUUCGAGCGGCGGAGCGCGGGCACCCCGCUCACGCGGCGCACGCGACGGUGUGGGGGGCACGUCGGCACCCAGCCUCGUAGCUCGGGGGAUUCGGCUCUGCUGGGUUUGUAACCCCCAGAGUACUGAGAGCAGAGGUCGCAAACGGGGUUUGAUUCCUUACCCGAUACCCGUACCCGGCCGGGUAUCGGGUAGGGUACGGGUACCCGAUUGCGACCUCUGGGAUGAAGCCACGUUGCAGGCGCGGGUGGGUUGAUUCUAGGAACUUGAAUUGUGAGAAGAGACAAGUCGUUGGGAAAUGAGUGACAAACGGUGACUCACCAGUGACUCACGGUCUACCCGUACCCGUACCCGGCCGCACCAGGGUCGCAAACGGCUACCCGUGCCCGGCCGGGUACGGGUAGCCGGGUAUCGGGUAGGGUACGGCAAUCGGGUACCCGGUUGCGACCUCUGAUUGAGAGUCCAAUCUCCUUAAAACGCGUUUUUUGUGGCAUCGUGGCUUUCGCAUUGGGCCAACGUAUAAAUGCACGAAUCGGGGGAGAUUUUGAUUUAAAGAAACCCACAUUUUUUUGUUUCUUUAGCUAACUUCUUAAUUUGCGUGAGUUUCUGUUUUCAUUUUUUCGUUAAAUUUCCUCACUCCAUCGGUGGAUCGGAGGGCCUGAGUUUAGCGGGCGCACGUCGUUAUUAUACCAUAACAGCCGGCUCCCAUUUAUAUUGACAAAACAAACGGCAUUUAAGAUUUUGGCUAUGCGGUUUGUGAACAGCUGUGGCCAAAUCUGAACAUCAGGUGACACGGUGUUGUAUAUAUUGUUUUUCUGAAAAGUAUAAAAUGAAAUUGGGAAAUCAUGUUUAGAUAUCUCGCGGAUAAGAAGAGUCACGCGGUAUUCUCAUCCUCUUAUUGGCGAGGUUAUCUGUCAUUUUGCUCCUUUUAGCUGGAAGGUAAAGAUUCGCAGAUGGCCCCACAGAUAAUAAGAUCAGCAGCUCUGUUGGUGUUCCCCCGUGUCACAGCGGAUCACAGCAGUUCUGCAUGAAUUUUGCGCAGUGUU